rnacentral:rRNA from 1 species
GACGAACGCUGGCGGCGUGCUUAGCACAUGCAAGUCGAACGGAAAGGCCCUGCUUUUGUGGGGUGCUCGAGUGGCGAGCGGGUGAGUAACACGUGAGUAACCUGCCCUUGACUUUGGGAUAACUUCAGGAAACUGGGGCUAAUACCGGAUAGGAGCUCCUGCUGCAUGGUGGGGGUUGGAAAGUUUCGGCGGUUGGGGAUGGACUCGCGGCUUAUCAGCUUGUUGGUGGGGUAGUGGCUUACCAAGGCUUUGACGGGUAGCCGGCCUGAGAGGGUGACCGGCCACAUUGGGACUGAGAUACGGCCCAGACUCCUACGGGAGGCAGCAGUGGGGAAUAUUGCACAAUGGGCGGAAGCCUGAUGCAGCAACGCCGCGUGCGGGAUGACGGCCUUCGGGUUGUAAACCGCUUUCGCCUGUGACGAAGCGUGAGUGACGGUAAUGGGUAAAGAAGCACCGGCUAACUACGUG